CACUGACAUUAGAUACCCGGGUAGUCCUAGCCGUAAACGAUACUCGCUAGGUGUCGGCCACGGUGCGACCGUUGUCGGUGCCGUAGGGAAGCCGUGAAGCGAGCCACCUGGGAAGUACGGCCGCAAGGCUGAAACUUAAAGGAAUUGGCGGGGGAGCACCACAACGGGUGGAGCUUGCGGUUUAAUUGGAUUCAACGCCGGAAAUCUUACCGGGACCGACAGCAACAUGAAGGCCAAGCUGAAGACUUUGCCGGAUUAGCUG
rnacentral:rRNA from 1 species